rnacentral:rRNA from 1 species
UGUGUAGGUGGUUAUGUUAGUCUUUCGUUAAAGACCGGGGCUCAACUCCGGAACCGCGAGGGAAACGGCAUAACUAGAGGAUGUGAGAGGUAUAAGGAACUCAUGGUGUAGGGGUGAAAUCCGCUGAUAUCAUGGGGAACACCAAAGGCGAAGGCACUAUACUGGCACAUUCCUGACACUGAGACACGAAAGCGUGGGUAGCGAAUG